AUCACUUCUUGGCCUUUUGGCUAAGAUCAAGUGUAGAAAGGAGAAUGCCCUGAAUGAAGUGUGUCUUGAUUUCAUUAUAGCAGCUGGCACAAGCUAGCUGAUUAGAUGUGGUCACAAUGGAGAAACGUGGCUGCUAACUCACAGCCG
rnacentral:snRNA from 1 species